AUACGGUCAUAUCACGUUGAAACACUGAUUCUCGUACGAUCACAAAAGUUAAGCAACGUCGAGCUUGGUUAGUACCUAGAUGGGUUCCCGCUUGAGAAUACCAGCUGCUGUAAG